UUGGAAUUGCUGGUCAAGCACAUUGAUUCUGCUUCACUCAGGUGAAGAUGAAAGUAGCUGCAACAAUAGAUACUGCGUUUGAAGGUCAUUGAGUUGUAGCGAGGCAAGGGGAGCAAGAGAGUAAGACACACACGCAAAGUAAUGGAAUUUUUAUUUGGUAUCUGGGAAGCCUUGAGUGACACAGUACGAGCUGACCUUGAAAUUUCAUACUUUUGUGACUCAUAGCAUUUGCUUUUAUAUUCCAGAAAAAUGCGAUGAUGCUUUAAAGGGAAAUUAGUAUAGCCAGUUUUACUCUCUGGGAAGCUUACACCGGAUAUGAUUUAUUUGUUGACUUUAUGAUAAUAUGGAAAAUGAAGACCUGGUUAAUUUCAGGUGAAUCUGACAUAAAAGAGGCAGUAUAAUUUCAAGUGAAUCUGCUCGGAAGACUGCAUAUCUCGUGAAGAAAAGGAAUCUGACUUUUAGGAGCAGUGAUAGUCUGUCACAUAAAACGUGCGUAGUGAAGAAGAUCGAACCUGACAUGGAUCGUGACCGUGGUCGGGACCAGAGAGAUGGUAUCCCCAGGUCUCUCCAGCUCUCUGAUCCAUGCAGAAUCAAAACACCUUUUAAGAAAAGAAUAAAGAAGCCUCAUCAGAGAGAAGUGAAAGUAUUGCUGGAUUCCUCUUGGCUGAAGACAGAGUCAACAGAAAGUUGGAGGAGAAUGUAUCAACCACACCAAAGGAGUUUCUGGUGA
rnacentral:lncRNA from 1 species